CCUGCCCCCACAGUAGAGGUGCUGGGGAUGUAGCUGCUGUGUCACAUGUGUGACAGUGAGUGGCUGAGAUGAGAGAGGCCAUGCCCACACUCAGUGUGCUGACCUGUGGGCACCAGAAUGAUGAGUAGUCUAGCCUA